GACGAACGCUGGCGGCGUGCUUAACACAUGCAAGUCGAACGGAAAGGCCCCUUUGGGGGUACUCGAGUGGCGAACGGGUGAGUAACACGUGAGUAACCUGCCCUUGACUUCGGGAUAACUUCAGGAAACUGGGGCUAAUACCGGAUAGGAAUCCUUGCUGCAUGGUGGGGGUUGGAAAGCUUCGGCGGUUUUGGAUGGACUCGCGGCUUAUCAGCUUGUUGGUGGGGUAGUGGCUUACCAAGGCUUUGACGGGUAGCCGGCCUGAGAGGGCGACCGGCCACAUUGGGACUGAGAUACGGCCCAGACUCCUACGGGAGGCAGCAGUGGGGAAUAUUGCACAAUGGGCGGAAGCCUGAUGCAGCAACGCCGCGUGCGGGAUGACGGCCUUCGGGUUGUAAACCGCUUUCAGCAGGGGCGAAGCUUUUGUGACGGUACCUGCAGAAGAAGCACCGGCUAACUAUGUG
rnacentral:rRNA from 1 species